rnacentral:tRNA from 2 species
GGGUCUGUGGUUUAGUGGUAUAAUACUCCCUUAGCAGUAGCAGCUUGUCUGCCCUACAAUGGGAGUGGUCCGGGGUUCGAUUCCCCGCGGAUCCA